rnacentral:tRNA from 1 species
GCCUGGGUGGCUCAAUUGGUUGGGUGCCUGACUUCAGCUCAGGUCAUGAUCUCAUGGUUUGUGGGUUCGAGCCCCGCAUAGGGCU